GACGAACGCUGGCGGCGUGCUUAACACAUGCAAGUCGAACGGAAAGGCCCUGCUUUUGUGGGGUGCUCUUGUGGCGAAAGGGUGAGUAACACGUUAGUAACCUGCCCUUUACUUUGGGAUAACUUCAGGAAACUGGGGCUAAUACCGGAUAGGAGCUCCUGCUGCAUGGUGGGGGUUGGAAAGUUUCGGCGGUUUGGGAUGGACUCGCGGCUUAUCAGCUUGUUGGUGGGUUAGUGGCUUACCAAGUCUUUGACGGGUAGCCGGCCUGAGAGGGUGACCGGCGACAUUGGGACUGAGAUACGGACCAGACUCCUACGGGAGGCAGCAGUGGGGAAUAUUGCACAAUGGGCGGAAGCCUGAUGCAGCAACGCCGCGUGCGGGAUGAUGGGCUUCGGGUUGUAAACCGCUUUCGCCUGUGACGAAGAGGGAGUGACGGUAAUGGGUAAAGAAGCACCGGCUAACUACGUG
rnacentral:rRNA from 1 species